UGGCUGUCUGCAUCCAUACCAGGUUUGUCA
rnacentral:piRNA from 1 species